GCCAGUGUGGUGUAGUGGUUUGUGUAUUGGAUUACAACUCUAGAGACCAGGUUUCAAAUCCCUGUUCAGCUA